UUGGGGGACGUGAUCUCAAAAGUCGGCACCUGCGUGGCCAGCGAGUAGUGGAAGUCCACUGGAGAAAGGCGCGCGGGCGUGGAAAUGGAGCGGCUGUCAGGGGAAGAAGGAAUGCAAUUGUGGCCAUAGGCUCUGUUUCCAUGGACUCUGCAAAAGCUAACUAGGCAAACCAGAAAGCUCCAACCUCACAAGUGGAAGAAAGGAAGGAAUGGAGUCCUGGAUGGGGACUCAGACCAGAGAGGGCCUGGAGAGAAUCACCAAUCAUCCCUUGAAUCCUCAUUUCCUCUUUUAGUAGGCAGCAAACCCCCAUCCCACCCUAUCCUUGAGCCACAUAAAUGUCUCUGGCCUCUGGCCUCUGUGGAAACCCGUGCCCUGGGGCUUGUUCUCCCUCAGCAUCCCCUUCCCCACUCUCCCCCAUCGCCCCAAGUCAA